UCCGUAGGUGAACCUGCGGAAGGAUCAUUAAAGAGACGUUGCCCUUCGGGGUAUACCUCCCACCCUUUGUUUAUUUAUACCUUUGUUGCUUUGGCAGACCCGGCUUCGGCCCACCGGCUCCGGCUGGUCAGUGUCUGUCGAAGGACCUAAAACUCUGUUUGUUAAUAUUGUCUGAGUACUAUAUAAUAGUUAAAACUUUCAACAACGGAUCUCUUGGUUCUGGCAUCGAUGAAGAACGCAGCGAAAUGCGAUAAGUAAUGUGAAUUGCAGAAUUCAGUGAAUCAUCGAAUCUUUGAACGCACAUUGCGCCCCUUGGUAUUCCAUUGGGCAUGCCUGUUCGAGCGUCAUUUACACCCUCAAGCUCGCGCUUGGUGUUGGGCGUCUGUCCGCGCUUUCGAGCGUGGACUCGCCCCAAAUCCAUUGGCAGCGGCUCCGCCGGCUUCUCGCGCAGCACUUUGCGCUCAGGAAGGCUUUCGGCGGGCUCGCGUCCAUCAAGUCACCCCUCAUUUUGACCUCGAAUCAGGUAGGGGAUACCCGGCUGGAACUUAAGGCAUAUCAAUAAGGCGGGGAGGGAAGUCGACUGGCCAAGGGGCACACAGGGGGGGGAUA
rnacentral:rRNA from 1 species